GACGAACGCUGGCGGCGUGCCUAACACGUGCAAGUCGAACGGGGUAAUCCUUCGGGGUUACUUAGUGGCGAACGGGUGAGUAACGCGUGAGAAACCUGCCUUUCAGUGGGGGACAACAGUUGGAAACGACUGCUAAAACCGCAUAAUGUUAUUUGGGGGCAUCCCUGAAUAACCAAAGCUUUAUGUGCUGAAAGAUGGGCUCAUGUCUGAUUAGCUAGUUGGUGAGGUAACGGCUCACCAAGGCGACGAUCAGUAGCCGGUCUGAGAGGAUGAACGGCCACAUUGGGACCGAGAUACGGCCCAG
rnacentral:rRNA from 1 species